rnacentral:rRNA from 1 species
UAGGGAAUCUUCGGCAAUGGACGAAAGUCUGACCGAGCAACGCCGCGUGAGUGAAGAAGGUUUUCGGAUCGUAAAACUCUGUUGUUAGAGAAGAACAAGGACGUUAGUAACUGAACGUCCCCUGACGGUAUCUAACCAGAAAGCCACGGCUAACUACGUGCCAGCAGCCGCGGUAAUACGUAGGUGGCAAGCGUUGUCCGGAUUUAUUGGGCGUAAAGCGAGCGCAGGCGGUUUCUUAAGUCUGAUGUGAAAGCCCCCGGCUCAACCGGGGAGGGUCAUUGGAAACUGGGAUACUUGAGUGCUGAAGAGGAGAGUGGAAUUCCAUGUGUAGCGGUGAAAUGCGUAGAUAUAUGGAGGAACACCAGUGGCGAAGGCGGCUCUCUGGUCUGUAACUGACGCUGAGGCUCGAAAGCGUGGGGAGCAAACAGG